rnacentral:rRNA from 1 species
UACGUAGGGGGCGAGCGUUGUCCGGAUUUACUGGGCGUAAAGGGUGAGUAGGCGGUAGUAUGUGUCAGAUGUAAAAGGCUAAGGCUUAACCAUAGUUAGCAUUUGAAACUGUAUUACUUGAGUGCAGGAGAGGUAAGUGGAAUUCCUAGUGUAGCGGUGAAAUGCGUAGAUAUUAGGAGGAACACCAGUGGCGAAGGCGGCUUACUGGACUGUAACUGACGCUGAGUCACGAAAGCGUGGGUAGCAAACAGGAUUAGAUACCCUGGUAGUCCACGCUGUAAACGAUGAGUGCUAGGUGUUGGCCAGCGAUGGUCAGUGCCGAAGUAAACACAAUAAGCACUCCGCCUGGGGAGUACGGUCGCAAGACUGAA